GACGAACGCUGGCGGCGUGCUUAACACAUGCAAGUCGAACGGAAAGGCCCUGCUUUUGUGGGGUGCUCGAGUGGCGAACGGGUGAGUAACACGUGAGUAACCUGCCCUUGACUUUGGGAUAACUUCAGGAAACUGGGGCUAAUACCGGAUAGGAGCUCCUGCUGCAUGGUGGGGGUUGGAAAGUUUCGGCGGUUGGGGAUGGACUCGCGGCUUAUCAGCUUGUUGGUGGGGUAGUGGCUUACCAAGGCUUUGACGGGUAGCCGGCCUGAGAGGGUGACCGGCCACAUUGGGACUGAGAUACGGCCCAGACUCCUACGGGAGGCAGCAGUGGGGAAUAUUGCACAAUGGGCGGAAGCCUGAUGCAGCAACGCCGCGUGCGGGAUGACGGCCUUCGGGUUGUAAACCGCUUUCGCCUGUGACGAAGCGUGAGUGACGGUAAUGGGUAGAGAAGCAGCGGCUAACUACGUG
rnacentral:rRNA from 1 species